rnacentral:rRNA from 1 species
AAUAAAAACUUAUCUAUUUAAUUUUUAGGUAUUAUAUAAAUUUAAUGAAAAUAAUCUUAUUUGUAUUCAAAAUAGUAUUUAAUAAAGAAAUUUUUUUAAGGUGAUAAAUAAAAAGUACUGUAAAGGAAAGUUGAAAUAUUUGAAAAUUUAAUUAUUUAAAAGUAUAACUUAAAAUUAGUACCUUGUGUAUCAGGGGGUUUAAAUAUUAAUUUUAUUAAUAUAAAUAUUCCCGAAAUUUGGUGAGCUAGUCUAUAAUAAUAGUUAACGUGGUAUAGUUAUUAUUAAUUGUUUACUAGAAAUGAAAUUUUAUACGCACUAAUAAGUAUCUGGUUUUUCGAUAAAUAAAUUUAAUUUAGUUUUUAAUUUAAUAUUUUAUUAAAAUAUAAAAACAGGAGGGAAAAGCUUCUUGUUUAAUAAUAAACAAACUAUAAAUGAUUAUGAUUUAUUUUACUAAACUAGGCUUAAAAUCAGUCAUGUUAAAAGAUCGUUACAGAUUAUUUAAUCAUUCAUUAAUAUUUAAAUUAUCAUUUUAGUAAAUUUAUCGAAAAUUAUAAUAUAAUUAAAGUAUUUUAGUUAUAAUUAAACCAUUAGUAUAAAAAAAUGUUUUAUUAUUUAUUUUAACAAGAUAUAAUGUUAAUAUUUAUCAAAUUAGUAUUUGUAUUAAGGAACUCGGCAAAAAUUUCCUUCUGCCUGUUUAUCAAAAACAUGUCCAUAUGUUUGGUUUUAUAUGGUCUGGCCUGCCCACUGAUGAUUUAAAUUAAAGGGCCGCGGUAUUCUGACCGUGCGAAGGUAGCAUAAUAAUUAGUCUCCUAAUUAGAGGCUUGUAUGAAUGGUCGGACAAGAUGGAAACUGUCUCAAUACAAUAAAUAAAAAUUAAUAUUUAAGUAAAAAAGCUUAAAUAAAAUGGAGGGACGAUAAGACCCUAUAAAGCUUUAUAAUAUUACUUUUUCGUAUAAAAUGUCUUAUUAUUAACUUACUUUAAAGUUUAUAUUAUUUUACUGGGGCGGUAAAAGUAUAUUAAAGACUAACUGCUUUUGUUUUUUAUAACAAUUAUAAUUGAAAAUAAAUUGAUCCAUUAUUAAUGAUCACAAGAACAAGUUACUUUAGGGAUAACAGCGUAAUUUUUCUUGAGAGUUCAUAUCGAAAGAAAAAGUUUGCGACCUCGAUGUUGAAUUAAGGUUACCUUAAGGUGCAGCAGUUUUAAAGGUAGAUCUGUUCGAUCUUUAAAUCCUUACAUGAUUUGAGUUCAGACCGGCGUAAGCCAGGUUGGUUUCUAUCUUCCAUAUUAAUAAAACUUAUUUUAGUACGAAAGGAUUUGGUAAGUCAAAUAUUUUGUUUAUCGGUUGAUUAUUAUUAACUA